AGUCCCAUAAGCAAGGGUACCCUCCAGCCAGAUAUGUGGGUAGUCACCCCCUCAAAUCAAUGGGAUUGGGUUGCUCUUCGAGCAAUGAUAGAAAAGAAUGAAGUAAGGAAUUCCCUUCUUGUAGCCAAAUUCUUGGAAAUAAUGAAUGCUUUGAGCCAUAGACUUCCAACAUUUACACCUGCAGAGUUCUAAGUGUUGAAUUUGUUGUGGUAAACAAACAUCUUCUUCAUGACUUAACUGGGAUGGGUCUUUGGUCACCACUUAACGGCCCAAUGGCGAAAAUCAAUGCCAAUUCAACAGUGUAUUGCAAAAAAAAAAGAAGAAGAAGAAAUAACAGUAACUUUAUUACUCAAAAAUAUUUCCCUGAUUUACUGUAACUUGGUGGUAUGAAUUUCUUGCUGGCAGUGGAGUGUUCUCCAUCGAUUCCCACAGUUAUAAUUGGAAUGGAUGUUUCCCAUGGUAUUUUCAGGAAUUCAUUCUUUUCACACAAAAAAGUAUAACCAGCCUGUCACAUACAGGUUACUGCAAUAGUUACAACGAAUCUGAACAUAAUUAUUGAUGUUAACUUUCAUCCCGUCAAAACUGCUAAGAACUCUAAUUUGUGACGGGCCCAAUGGGAUUGGUGUCCAAGGUCUUGCUGACACAUUCAUUUUACUCGGCAUGGCUUUUGAUUCACCAGAGGCCCAGGAUCUAAACAAAGAACCAUGCUCUGAAUGCUUAAGAACCAGAUUAUAUAUGAGGAUGGAUCUGUGCAGAAAAUCCCUGAAAUUUCUGACGAGCUUAAAUUAAUCUACAAGACUGUUUGGGAGAUCAAGCAAAGGACUUUGGUUGAUAUGGGUGCUGAUCGUGAUGCUACAUAGACCAGAGCCAAAGCCUUAUUGCCAUCUUCUAUUUAAUUUCCUUCAACUUACUAAUAUUGUAAUGCUUCCUUGCUUUGCAGUAGUUUGAAAUGUAAGUAACCAUUUUUAUUUUUUUUAAUUGUUUUUUCAGGAUUUAUUGGAGAUGAAUGUUUCUUUGAGAAUGAAACAUGUUUUAGAGACCGAUAACAAUUUGAUGAACAAAAGGCUCUUGCUCUACAAUUGAGGGAGUCGUUGCUGGGGAAUAAAGCAAAAGAACAUGGCGGCAGAGGGAAGGAACCGCCCGGUACUUAGGGAUAUUGGCAAUAUGGUUACCCUUUGAGGGGCUUAAGGCAAUCAGGUGUCUCGCCCCCUCACAAGGGAUUUUUGUGCACAACUGCUGGCUAAUGCACAAGCUGCAGCAGCUGACAAGAACAAGAAAUGUAUUGGUGCUGUGAAUGUGGAUGGAGUUACUGCUGCAAAUGGAGGUGCCUAGAAAGCCUCAUUCUCAGAAGAGAGCUAUUGUGAAGCCAAUCAAGCCUGAAGCUGUGAUUGUAAUCAGCCUUGACACUAAAAAUGGAGAAAUGGAGUACACUCAAUCAGCCUCUGCAGAAAGGUAGCAGCUGAAGAUUCAUCUAGAAAGACUUGGGGGUUGUUUACCAAAAUGGAGAAAUGGAGGAGUGUGAGAAAACAUGGGUGAACAAUGGCAUAGUACGGAGAGGCUGCUUGUGGACUGAACAUUAAAUUACCAAAGGAGAAGAUUGAAGAUAUUGAUGCUGGAGAUGUGUACAAUGAGUUGGCAGUUGUGGAGUAUGCAGAAGACACUUACAAGUUCUACAAGGAAGCUGAGGUUUAAGUUAACAGAUGCAUGAAAUCAAUGUAUUUCGGAAUGGUAUCGCAUGAUUCGCAAAAAGCUAGCAUUCAUUAUUUUAAUGCAAUAGAGUACAAGGUGCAUUCAUAUAACCGUAAUGGCUUAUGUGCGUUGGGUUUUAUGGAUGAUCCCUACCCGGUUCGAAGUGCUUUUUCAAUGCUAAAUCAGGUCGUGGAUGAGUACCAAAAAAAUUUUGGUGAGACAUGGAGAUUUGCUCAAUCUGAUAGUACUCAACAAUGGUCUUAUUUAUUUGAAGCUCUAAAUAAAUUUCAGGAUCUUGCGGAAGCUGACAAGCCGUUGUGAGUAAUGUGCGCGGCUCAACGGCUACUGAAAAUCAAUGCCAAUUCAACAGUGUGUUGCAAAACAAGAAGAAGAAGAAAUAACAGUAACUUUAUUACUCAAAAAUAUUUCCCUGAUUUAUUGUAACUUGGUGGUAUGAAUUUCUUGCUGGCAGUGGAGUGUUCUCAAUCGAUUCCCACAGUUAUAAUUGGAAUGGAUGUUUCCCAUGGUAUUUUCAGGAAUUCAUUCUUUUCACACAAAAAGUAUUAAGUAUAACCAGCCUGACACAGCCCAUUAGGAUUGGUGUCCAAGGUCUUGCUGACACAUUUAUUUUACUCCGCAUGGCUUUUGAUUAACCAGAGGCCCAGGAUCUAAACAAAGAACCAUGCUCUGAAAGCUUAAGAACCAGAUUAUAUAUGAGGAUGGAUCUGUGCAGAAAAUCCCUGAAAUUCCUGACGAGCUUAAAUUAAUCUACAAGGAAUUCUCUCAUCCAUUUUAUUCUUUCAUAUUCUUCUCUCCAUUCAUUGGCUAAUACAGAGUAUAAUGUACUCAUGUUAGGACUGUGGGAGAUCAAGCAAAGGACUUUUGUUGAUAUGGCUGCUGAUCGUGAUGCUACAUAGACCAGAGCCAAAACCUUAACAUCCAUAUGGACCAACCCAAUUUUGGAAAGCUUACUUCCAUGCAUUUUUAUGCUUGGUCUAGGGGUCUGAAAACUGGAAUGUAUUGGCUGAUGGUAUCAAGUUCACUGUUGAUACUUCCAUGCUCAAAGUGGCCCCCCAUUGCUGCUAUCAUUUCCUCUUAUUGCCAUCUUCUAUUUAAUCUCCUUCAACUUACUAAUAUUGUAAUGCUUCCUUGCUUUGCAGGAGUUUUGAAAUGUAAGUAACAAUUUUUAUUUUUUUUAAUUGUUUUUUCAGGAUUUAUUGGAGAUGAAUGUUUCUUUGAGAAUGAAACAUGUUCUAGAGACCGAUAACAAUUUGAUGAACAAAAGGCUCUUGCUCUGCAAAUUAGGUGGAUGUCGCAGUCGACGAUCGGCACCUUGGUAAAGUCGGCAAUCUCGUUAAACAGCGAAGUAAGCAGUUCUGGGCUUCUAGGUUCUCUAUUCUUGCGUCGCAACAAGGGAAGAGAGGUUUUGACGUUAAUUGAAAUUUUAGGUUUUGACUCUUUUUUAAUCUGACGAUCUGGCUUGACAGUCUGAUGGGUUAGCCCAACUCAACCCAAUAGCUUUAUAUGGCUAGUUCAAUUAGCUUGCUUUUUAUUGGGUUGAUUUUUUUUGGGUUUUAACCCUAUAACUUUUAGAGCUUAUUGGGCCAGCCUUUUGGUUUUGGGAUAAA